rnacentral:rRNA from 1 species
GCUUAUCGUGAAUUGACCUUCCCGUGAAGAGGCGGGGAUACUAUGACAAUAAGCACGAGAAGACCCUAUGGAGCUUUAAUUAACCGACCCAAAGAGAUCUUGAUAAUCAACCGACAGGGAUAACAUACCUCUACCAUGGGCCGACAAUUUAGGUUGGGGUGACCUCGGAGAAUAAAACAACCUCCGAGUGAUUUAAAUCUAGACUAACUAGUCGAAAGUACUACAUCACUUAUUGAUCCAAAAACUUGAUCAACGGAACAAGUUACCCUAGGGAUAACAGCGCAAUCCUAUUUUAGAGUCCAUAUCGAAAGASRAKYKUGCGCUGUUAUCCCUAGGGUAACUUGUUCGCGUUGAUCAAGUUUUUGGAUCAAUAAGUGAUGUAGUACUUUCGACUAGUUAGUCUAGAUUUAAAUCACUCGGAGGUUGUUUUAUUCUCCGAGGUCACCCCAACCUAAAUUGUCGGCCCAUGGUAGAGGUAUGUUAUCCCUGUCGGUUGAUUAUCAAGAUCUCUUUGGGUCGGUURAUUAAAGCUCCAUAGGGUCUUCUCGUCUUAUUGUCAUAUUCCCGCCUCUUCACGGGAAGGUCAAUUUCACGGAUAUGGAAGUAAGAGACAGUAAAGCCCUCGAUUGCGCUGUUAUCCCUAGGGUAACUUGUUCGUUGAUCAAGUUUUUGGAUCAAUAAGUGAUGUAGUACUUUCGACUAGUUAGUCUAGAUUUAAAUCACUCGGAGGUUGUUUUAUUCUCCGAGGUCACCCCACCUAAAUUGUCGGCCCAUGGUAGAGGUAUGUUAUCCCUGUCGGUUGAUUAUCAAGAUCUCUUUGGGUCGGUUAAUUAAAGCUCCAUAGGGUCUUCUCGUCUUAUUGUCAUAUUCCCGCCUCUUCACGGGAAGGUCAAUUUCACGGAUAUGGAAGUAAGAGACAGUAAAGCCCUCGA